CUGCGGACCCAGCGUGGCCCAAGGAAGGCAGGAGCUGGACCAGACGAGGCCCCCGCAGGAGACGCGAGCGGGACGGGGCACCCGAGGCACCGGUGGCUGAGAGGCCGCCUUGUCUUCUGCCACACCCCCCCGCCCCAUACCCCGGCCACUAUUGAGUCCACAGCGGGCCCAGCAAGGGAGGGGCACGGGUGCGGUUGGCACGGCCCGGGCAGCGGCGUCCGAGUGGGCACGUGACUGCUGCGAUUGGGGGUGGCGGUGGGCGUGUAGGGUGGCAGUGGCUCUUGGAAGGUAGGGACCCCCUCGGGGCCGGGGGUGGGGGUCUUUCCUCGCGGGCGUGCACGGGGUUGCACAGGACUGGGCUGGAUAGUGCUGGGCUCCACUGGGUUGGACGGGCUAAUGCUGGGCCGGUUUGGAGGGACCAGGCUGAAUUGGACAGGGCACAGCUGGGCCCGCCUGGCUGGCUCUUCUUGGCCGGGCUCGGCCCGGCCUGGCCUUCCAUGCUGCGUGGCACGGGGUGGGCAGGAAAAAGCAUUCAGGGGAAGCCGGGCAGGGCAGCAGAGUCCGGCCCGAUGGGGGGCCGGUGUCCUGGGGCAAGGUGUGGAGAGAAUGGGAGGCGCAGUCGGGGGCCGAGGGAGGCCCCAAGGGUGGGGGCGUGGCUUGGAGGGGGCAGGGUGGCGGUGCGGGGCUGUGCUAUAGGAGCGACUCCAGCAGCCUGUGGCCGCCGGACAGAGGUUGCGCGCCUGUGGUGAGAGAUGUGGGCAGUGUGGGCCCCUGUGGGCAUCGGGUGGAGGCGGGCCCCCCAGGAAGUGGGCGCGCAGAGAAGGGAAGCAGGUGGUUGGGCGAGCUCCUGAAGCGUCGGGCCAUGCCUUGGUCCCUCCUUGUGCAGGCGAGGUCAGAGGGGCGUCCCGGGAAUGUGCGUGUGCCAAGGCCGCGGGGCAGAGGAAGGAAGACGCGGGCGCGUGAAGCUGUGUGUGAAGGCCGAGGGUGGGCGUGAAAGAGAGAGGGAGGGAGGGUGCGUGCGUGUGUGCGUGCAGGGUCCCUUGGAGUGAUGGCGGAGGGCCAGACGCCCAGGCGGGAGGACAUGGGCGAGAGGGGCGGUGUCGGGGGUCAGGCAAAAGGGAAGGCUGUCAGGAGUGGGAUUCGAACCCACGCCUCCAGGGGAGACUGCGACCUGAACGCAGCGCCUUAGACCGCUCGGCCAUCCUGACGGCAGGGCUGGGCGCGUGGACGCUGACCUGGCUGGGAUCCCAAGGCCUGGGUGCAGCCGGCCUGCGGGUAAAGCAUAACCAAAGAUGAACGCGCUUUCCCUGGCUUGUGUCUGCCUGACAUGUUCUGCUGCUGCGAUCAGGAGCUUAAGCCACCCUCUUGGAGAGGGAUUGUUGAGGUCGCGGAGCCCUGAGACCCCGGGGAGGAAAACGCGUCUUCAAUCAGAGGCACCAGCACUUCCCAAGGAAAGCUUUAGAGGACACUCAAGAAUGGCGGGUGCAGGCCCUCACAGAAGCCAGGGCCGUUGUCCCCUGCAACUGGAAAUCCUUGUGUGUUUUUGGUGGUGGGAAUCUUGGCAUUGGAUCACCCGUUCUCUUCCACUGAGUCUAGUGGGUGGGCAAGUGGCAAGUGGAAAGGGAAUGGUGCAGACCACGCUUAGUGCCAUGUGGUGCGAGACAAGAAGGAGAAACAGAACACAAAGCCAGUCCCGUCCCCCCCCCCCGCCCGCCAAAUGAAAAUCCAACACGUACACGCCAAAGGAAAGCUGGGCUUUCUGCCUGGAAUUGCUUUCUUGUACCUUCCUGUGCCUGGGGCUUGGGUUGCUGGAGUCUCCUUGUACAGGUGCUUUCUAGGUUCUUUCUCUCCUGUACAAGGAAUUGGUGGAGCAAAGUGCAACACGGAGCCAGGCUCAUCGUGCACCAAAGCUAUGAAAGCAGUCCUUCGUGCUCAGGCUCUCUCAGUGCUCGGCUCUCCCCCUACACAGCAUCCUUCUUCCUCGACUUUCCUUUGGCCCAUACCUGCUCUCCACAGCAUGCUUCCAUUCUACCUCGCCUCAAAACAAAACUCGUUUUGGAAGGGAAGUGAAACAGGCUCUGUAGAGUGCAGGUGGCCAGGUAAGGAUAAGGGGAACAAAACGAACCCAAGAAAACAAGAAAAAAGCAAACGAACAAAGAUGCUGCAGAGCACAGGCUGGGCCACUGGCAGAGUUAACAGUACAAAUCCGGCUUGGCUGUGCCUGGCUUUUGGAUCUCACACUCCUCAGGAUGAAGUGAGGUCUAGGCCAACUUAUCCUAUGACAGCACUAAGAGUUCUAGGGAAAAUCACCCAAAUGGACAGGCUGCUUGUAUCUAGGUGGAACUUGUUCUGCACAUGUGUGCUGGAAUUGUGUGACUGACAGGUGAUGUCCCCUUGCCCAGCCAGUUUGCCGUGCUCUAAUCUCCUGCCUCAUUGCCUCAGGUCCACUUGCAAUCAAUUAGUUGGAAAAGAGGGCACUAGAGGCUGAGAUGAUGGUAGAGAGCAGCUCGUUUUGAGGUGCAAAUGUGGCCAGAGGCAGCUUCUAGGUAGGAAACAAGAAAGGCUUUAUCACAAUGGAAUGGGGAAACUUACUUCAGGCUGCUUGUGCCACAACAGGUAGAUGCUACCUAUAGAGCAGUUAGACAAAGGGAGGCACCGAGUAACUCCAUCGGCAAAGGAAACUGUUUGUGCCCGUGUGUGUCUGUGUCUCUCUGUGUGCCAGAGGGAGAUAGAGAUAGAGAUAAAGAAAGAGAGUGAGAGAGAGUGAGACAAACACAGAGAUAGAUGCAGAAAGAGAGACAGACAGACAGACAGACAAAGAGAGAGAGAGAGAGAGAGAUAGAGAGAGAGAGAGAGAGAGAGAGAGAUUGUGUUAAGAAAGAAGGGAGGAAGCCAGAAGUAGUUCAAGACACCAGGGGAUCCAGCUCCCUUACACACCUUUGAAGAAAUGUAAAGGGCAUCCACCAAAAGAUGAUCAUUUUAUAUGUAGAAGAAACACACCUACAUUUAUACACAUGUACACAUGGUCUCAUAUGAACAUCAUUCUAUUGCACCAGAUACACGUCUAUCCCUUUUCCUUAACCACUCACUCUCUUAUUAGCAUUCCAUACACACUCCCAGACUUAGAGAUACAUGCCUGUGCACAUAUAUACACACACACAUAACCCCCGAAGGGACAUGACAUAACUAAAUGGCCAGCAAAAUGUAGACAGAGGUGCCCAAGGUGAAAGACAGUAAAGCACCCAAUAAGCUGGUCACCACUUUGAGGUGCCCACGUGGAAAGUUAGAGUCCUAGAUAUGUAAGAGGCGGGGUGGGCUAUUGCUCACGGCUAUUCCUUUCUGUUGCCCCCUACUCUCCCAGAAUAGCUGUAUAUCUCCCCCCUCCCACACCCAUACACCCUUUUCCAAAUAAACACUCUUGCUUUCUUGGAAACUCUGCUCUUGAAAACAGGCAUGGUGGCAGCAGGCCUGCAAUCCCAGCCCUUGGGAGGAUCAGCACAAAUUUGAGGACAGUCUGGGCUCCAUAGUUUGUUCAGUGACAGCCUGAACUAUACAGGGAGGCCUUGUCUGCAAGAAACAAACAAACAAAGAAACAAAUAAGAAAAAUAAAACCCUCCAUCUCUUUCAUUCAUUACUGAAACCCUGAGUUUAUGAUGCCGGAAACUGCGUGUGUCGCUGGGCGCAUGGUGCUCACAUCCCAGCCGGCCACAACGGCAAGAGCAGUAACCUCUGCAGCACGUUGCUGGAGUGGUUCCACUUUCUCCAACUGAACUUGGCCCUGUCAGCAUUGCCAGUGGUUUCCUGUGUCUUCCACGACAGAUAUUUGAAGUGUCCUCUGGUGCUCAACCGCGGUUUUCCACACACAUUGCUUUAGUUCCAAAGAGCACACAGAUCCUAGGGUUGUAAAUUGGCGAAUGACUUGGAGAGUAUUUUGGGCACCACCUUUAGUUGUUAAACCUGCAGGAUCAGAUGGCCAGGAUGGCAAAGGCCUGGGUUCCUACUGUAGGAGAUGGGAAGACCAAAGGUUGAAGCUUAGCUUGGGCCAUUUCCUGACCUGGUGAGACCCUGUGUGGAACUGAUGAAAUUUGCCAAGGCCUGGGGGGUGGGGGGGUGGCCGGGAAUCUAGUUCAAUGGCAUAAGUGCCUGCCUGGCAAGCAGGAGGACCUGCUUGCCAUGUCCAGAACGAAAGCAAGAAAUCCUCAGGAUAAGAAUGGUAAUACUAAUGAAGUAAAUCCUAGAAAGCAUGGGGAGGUA